AUGGGAACAAAUGAAGAGGAAGAAAAUGGAAACUACAAGAAAAGUACAAAGCUUCCACACUUUGUAAUUUUAUUCACAUCCAUAUUCACAAGCAUAGUUGGUGGCUGUGUUCUUGGAUGGUGGCUACACAAAUAUCAUCCAUCAAAUGAGCAACUUUGGAUGGUACCAUUUGGUUUUGUUCUCUUCAUCACUCCUAUCAUUGUCUUGCUCUCUCUAAUAGUUUCUGAUCCAUGUUUUCCCAAAGAAGUGGAGGGUUCACUUUCUAACACAAACACAUGA